rnacentral:lncRNA from 1 species
CACUUUCUAGAUUAAGAUCUUAAUCUUACAGAUAACUCCAGGCUGCUGAAAUCCAGCAGCCACGUGGAAGCCUCUCCGUGGAUACCCACCAGAGACGGGGCCCUGCCCCAUUUGCACUGGGAUGUGCCACUGCCCACUGGGAAAGCCCAGGCACCCCGCUCACGGGAAAUGCACUAAGCACCAGGCGUGAUGGAUAAUACCAAGCUGAACAGAUUUGGAGAGAAGAAGCCUGGCUCGGGAAAUUUAGCCCAGAGCAUCGCCUCUCCUGUGGCAUUGGUUUUGCUGGCUUUGCCGCUGUUGGUACUCCGAGCGUAGUUUGUGCAUGGUAAUUUCCUUUAAGAAAAAAAUACUGUGAAGGGAAUGAGAGUUGACAUGACAGAUUGUAUCUGCUGUGCCUGUUGGCCCCAAAGGCAGUCGGUUGUGUUUUAAAAUUCAGCAAUUAUGUAUGUACACAAAUGUUUCUAAUGGGCCCCAAACCGUUAGCAACAACAGGCCGCUGUCCCUGAGCACUGCGUAGCAAACGCGGGAAAGAUUAAACUGAAAGAAAGUGGCAUGGACAGGGAAGCCUGCCUGAGUGGGGAGAAGGGCCUCAAGGAGAAACCAGAAAGCUGGAAGAAGCUCUGGAUUCUGUGGUCGUGAUGAAGUCAUACUGAGGAGUCUGACCUCCGUGGGAGAGCAGCAUGAACCUAAAGCUCUGCAGCCUUAGGCAGAACAAAUGCGCCUCUGCGGCCUGGUGUCCAGCAGGGACGCUCACCAGAAAUGUGUUUGGUAGCACAGCUGAAGUUCUGCAGCCUCCGUGGGGCUGGCGGAGCAGUGGCCGACUCGUCUCCUGCCACCCAGGAGAGACCCUUGGCCAGGCAGAAGGGGCAGUGCCUGGUUAAUGAACCACCUCCGCACCUUUGUUCCUCUGGCUGCCUGGUGCCCUGCUCUCGCGUGUACAAUUAUUACAAAAAUCAGAGUGUUGCCUUGAGAUAUGAUUUUCAUAGCGGGAUAGAUUUUAUUAUACCAGCCGUACAAUACCCACCAUUAUCAUUUUGAUUAUACGCUCCUCUCAUUUGCACUAUUGGAACAUUAUCUGUGGUACAUUCAUUAUUACUUUAUAAGAAACUGAAACUACAUCCUUAAGAUGAAUUGUAAGGAAGGAUUUCUAUUUCCUCAGAUAUAUACUUUGGCUGAGAACAUUAAGUGGCAA